rnacentral:lncRNA from 1 species
CACAAGGUAAAUUUAUAAAGUCUACUACUCUGAUUACACUAUAUGCAACUGUGCUUUGAUUUCGAAAUCUACAAAACAAACUAUCCCACAAUGUGCUCAAUCAUACCAACAAGGCAAUCAGUCUGUCAAAAUUGUCAUAUAAAAAAACAACGAAAUAAAUCAAGAAGCUCAUAACUCACCAUCAGUUUGGAUGCCAGAGCUAGCAGGAUCGCGGAAUCUGAUCCCAGAAAACUAAUCAUACCUCUCCCUCCAAGUGUACAGAAGAAAGAACACCCAUGACAGUGCCAAGACAAUAUCCCCAACCACAAGCCUUAACCAGUUGCAUCAAGAUCCUCGAGUUUCCUAUCGAAGUAAAUUCUCCACACUGCUGUAACCACAUGUAGAAAAACACAUCCCUGGCCGGGGCGGAUCUAGGAAGAGACGCGGGGAACACGUGUCUCCCCUAGAUAUUUUUUUUUACAUUUUUUCACCAUUCUAAAUUUUGCAAAAUUAUAAAAAUGGCCCGAAAAAUUUAAAAAUAUAUAAGUGUUUUCCGAAAAUUUGCUUCGUGCCAUGUGCUGGAUCCGUCCCAGCCCCCUCACAAAAAAGCCUUAAAAAAAUCUACCUAAAUAUCCUGAUCUCUUAUCUGUAAUCCUAACGAAUUUCAAUAUGAAUUAACCUAUAAUCCGUUUCGAAUCCAAACCAAAUAAAAAAAAUAGAUAUGUAUAUGAAUGUAGACGAUUAGAUCCAAACCCCAUCGUUGACUUAGACUCUCCAUAAUUGACUUAAUUAAUGGUAAUAUAUUAACACUUUACAAAACGUGUUAGCAUGUGUCUUUCUAUUAAAUUGUCAUCUUACGUCUUUAAAUUGCUUAUCAGAAGAUAAUGUCAAAGAUUUUCUUGGAUUUGCAUUUGAUGAGUUCAGUUGUAAAUAGUUACUUCUUUAAAUUACUUCUCUUGUUUUGGAGUUUCUGUGAUUAAUUUAAAAAUUAAUAGGAAUUAUAUGAUCCUAUAACUACUUUAUAAUACAGUUUUCAUUAUUAUAAUAUAUUUUGUAUCAUUGAUAUAUUUUUAUUAAAUAUCUGUUUCUAAAUAUUUUUCAAGAUAAAUAUACCAGAAAAUAAUUGAUUCUCAUGCACCCCUUCCUGAUCGAAUAUUAAAAAUCCAUAUUUCAAGUAUUUGGGUUAUAUUUUUAAUAUUUUAUUUUUUAUUCGGAAAACAACCAAACUCGGGCCCCACUCAGCUCUACCACCUUUGUAAAUCUAUAAGUAGCAGGCUAGUAGCCCAGAAAGGCAGAAACACACAACUACACGAGGAAAUAUAGCAAACUACAAAGCUCAAGUUAACUACAUCAUACCCAACGAUUUUCUCCAGUUUUUUACCGACCAUGUCGAACAUCAGUGUUGACUCUGGCUCUGUUGAGGAGACCCAGGACGUGUAAGUUUUUUUUUACUUCCAAUUAUUAUUAGAUUUUUAAAGUGUAAGUUUACUUUUACUUGCAGUUACUAUUAGAUUUGGGAUAAGUCUUAAGCACAUAAAUUUUGAUCUAACGGGUAACGGGUGUUUGGAUCAUAAUUAAUGGGAUCUGUUAAUAUGAAUAGAAACUUCAAACAAAUUUUAUCGUAUGUAACGAGAAUCUCAUUCUAAUACUCUCCAUUCCCGUAUAUAUUAUUUUCAUUCUCAUCCGCAAUCCAAAUACUUCCUAAAUUUCGAUCUCUUCAAGUUUUUUAGUUUUUUUCAGUGCACAGAGAGAGGCACAUAAUUUUGGCCCAUGUAACUCGAGUAGUAGUAAUUAUCGAUGUCCAUGUCGUGUUUACUAAUUUACUAAGAAAUUUCUAGCGGUAAAUUUUAAUACAUGAACUGCAGGAAGAAGGGAAACUCCUAUGGCAGUGAAAUUGUUGAAACCAGGUAUGCUCUUCUUAGUUCUUUGAUGCGUAUAAAUUACGAAUCAAGCUUGUCUCUGUGUUUCGUUUCUUGUUAUUGUUUUAAUGAAGUGAAUUUGAUUGUUGCUGCAGCUCUGGAGAGACUAUUUUGCUGGAAGAGGUGUCCGAGAACACGGAAAAUACAAGCGCGGAACAAACUGCACCGGUGCCGACUGCACUUGAAGAUGAGGUGACCAUUGAGCCAAGCCUCUGAUAUGGAAUUAGUUGAUUAAUUGCAUGCGGUGCUUGCAUGAGGUUGAUUAACUGAUUACCUUGUGUACCUUCUGUUCCUUGGAACUUGUUAUGAAUGUAUGAAUUUAUAUUGCAGAAGAUUUAGCUUGUUUCGAUCGGUGAAUGGAUUCUUGGAUGAAAUUUCGUUGAUUAUUCAGGGCCCAUGGCAUAGAUCGGUGUCCGCUCAUAAAAUUAGAUACAAAAUUAUUGAACAACAUGAUAUCGCAAUUCCUCUGUCCUUUUGUGGGGUUGCUAAUGGCCAAUCUCAAACUCAUAAAUUAGUUCCUAAGAUUGAUCUUUGGGCAGAAAAUAAUUCUACCUGUGGGUUUAAGGGGAGGCUUAUCUUGACUGAAUUAGAAAAGUCAAUGAUCAGAUUCCUUAUAAAAGUUCAACUGAUUUCGAAUAAUCAGGCAAAAAAAACAAUCAUAAUUUGGAUUUCAAUCGAUGAUCAUUUCAAUUUGAUCAUCCUUUCAAUAUUUGAUUUUUUCCACGUACUUGUGACCUCCUGGUUUCGCUAGCGAGAAGAACCCUCUCAUUUCCACGUAUUUGAAACCCAAGCCUAUGGCAAGCAGGAAAAGCAUUAACAAAGGGAGCUCAGAAGAAGUGACUCCCAAUGUUUUUCAAGAACUAAUUAAAAUUACAGAUGACACAAAGUAAAUCUGUAAAGUCUACUACUCUGAUUACACUAUAUGCAACUGUACUUUGAUUUGGAAAUCUACAAAACAAACUAUCCCACAAUGCGCUAAAUCAUACCAACAAGGCAAUCAGUCUGUCAAAAUUGUCAUAUAACAAACCACGAAAGUAAAUCAAGAAGCUCGUAACUCACCAUCAGUGUGGAUGCCAGAGCUAGCAGGAUCGCGGAAUCUGAUCCCAGAAAACUAAUCAUACCUCUCCCUCCAAGUGUAAAGAAGAAAGAACACCCAUGACAGUGCCAAGACAAUAUCCCCAACCACAAGCCUUAACCAAUUGCCACCAAGAUCCUCGAGUUUCCUAUCGAAGUAAAUUCUCCACACUUGUAACAUCCCGAAUUUUCGGAAUAUUAAAAACUAAUUUCACAACACAAAUAAUACCAUUACUUAAAUCAAAAUCCUCAAAUAUUAUAUAAGUCAAAGCAGCGGUCAAACCCAAUAAUCAAAAGUCAUAAAUUUAGAGACGCAGCUCCAAAAAUCCAAAACCAAUAUCUGAUAAACUCAUCAAAUUAUUCUAAAUAAACACUAAAUCUUUAUUCACUAAUGCAAAUAAUCACGAAGCAUAAAAUCCAAAAGUCCUCGAUCUAAUUCUCAAAAUUCUUCCACAUGAUAGAACCUGAAAUAUAGAAAAUCGGAUGAGCUACACAGCUCAGCAAGUAACAAUUUGACAAACAAUUAAUUUCGAAAUCAGUGGGCGUUUUUAUAAAACAUUGUUCCUCAAAACAAUUAUAACUUUAAAACACUUGUAAAAAAACAAAUCCAACCCAUAGUUUAUAUUUUAAAACGAAUCAGAAUUUAAAUGAGAAGCAAAAACAGAAACAAAAAUCUUAUCAAUACCACAGUCUUGCUCUACGGCCACACUUUCCCAGUGACCGGGAUCUUAUUCUUAUUCUUUGCCACAUUUACCCAGUGACCGGGAUCUAAAGUUCAAUAAUCACGCGCCCUUAGCAGGUAUCUAAAGUUGCACACUUGUGCGCCUACUAAGGGUAUCUAAGGCUAGUUCCGGAACUAUAGCGUAAAUUACGAACGGGUUCGAAACGUAGAGACUGGGUCUUCAAAGAUUCUCAUGUCUUAUAUCUUAUAAAUUUUGAAACAAAAUUCUUAUAUCUUAUAAAUCUCGAAACAAAAUUUUCUUAUAUCUCAUGACAAAAAUCUGAAAUUCACAUAGCCAAAAUAUCUUUCGAAAAUAAAAGUAAGUCAAAAAGUACUUACCUCAAAGUCGACACUUAAAAUCCGAAAUUAAUAACACGAACAAAGCCUAUACAUUUAAUUAAUAAACAAAACAUAAUUAACACAUAACACUUCUUAAACAAUCAAGAGCAAGGCACAUAACAAGUCUUAACAAAAUACAAACUUUAACAACUAAUAACAAUUAACAUAAUUUCAUUUAUCGAAUAAGAUAAAUAACAUGCAUGCUGUUACAAAUUUCAAUAUUAACUAAAGAUAACUUCUGAAUAUGAGAAAAUAAUCAACUAUAGAAUUAAAUUACAUUCAACAAGGAUUCCAAAAUGACCAGAUUCAUAAUAAACGGACAGAUAACGAAUUAGUUAUGAAUUUUAGAAGUUCAAGUAACAGAGCAGAAUUUUACUCAGGAGCAGUUUACAUUCAAAGCAGAUUUUCACAAAGAAAACAAACUGAUAUCAAUUAGACUAUAACUAAACACUUAUAUAUCAUUCUCAGAGGUUUCAGAAUUGGUAAAGAUCAUAAUUUUAUGGCAAAUAACGAGGGAGAUAUGAAUUUUUAAACACAGAACAACUCAGCAGAAAAGUAUAAACAGCCCUGAAUCUUUGUAAGUCAGUUUAGACAAUUAAAUCAAUUUAAACAACAAAUGGGUAUGACUGAUAACGAAAGAAUAUAUCUCAAGCUUUCCAGAUUGGUAUCACGAGUAAAUUUUUGACAUACGAUCAAUUUAUAGCGAAUUUUUGAACAUGGGAAAAAGUUUCGCGACUAAGAACUAAAGGGUAACAAAGAAUGUGAUUUUAAGCAUAGAUACACUGCUAAUUUCGAAAUAAGUCCUGAGACAAAAGUUGUAGGUAUCGAAGAGAGCUUUUCAGAAUGUCCAGAAUCAACAACAUCCGAUCAAUUUUCAAUUUACUAUGAAUUUUACAACCCAACUGAUUCACAGAAAUUACUAUAUACAAAUUUCAGCAUAAACAAUUAAGCAAACAUGAUAUAUUUACAUCAAAUACACAUGAUAAUAAGCAAGAAAUCAAUAUCUCAAGUCAACAUAUACGUGUUAUAAUCAAAGAGAAAAAGAGAGCAUACCCGUCCACGUAAAUUGAUGUCCGACUUAUUCAGAUUCUAAAGAGGUUCUUAUAUAGCACAUAAAACCUAGUCGUAAAUAGGAAGUCCCAAACUUGGGUCAAAAUUUUCUACACAUCAUAAACCAAUUUCCAAAUAUAAGGUCUUCUAAAAAAGAUUUCAAUUUCUAAAAUAAUUCUACACUUCUUUCCAUUAAUAAAGAAUGUUCUCUAUUUUAUUAUUCAAAAUAACUAACACGAAAAUAAAUUCUAGAAGCUUCCAAUUAAUGCUAAUAUCUAAUUAUAUAAAUACAAACAAUUUAAAUCUAAAAUCUAACUCAUAAUAAUAAUACUAAUUAAAUAGAAAUAUUUAAAUAAAUAAAUAAAAUUACAGGAUUUUACAUUCUACCCCCCUUAAAAGAAUUUGGUCCCCAAAUUCUCCAAAUCUAUUCUCCAAAAUCCCAUCUAAAAGUCAAGACACACAACUAAAAACUCAGUAACCACUAACAAGUCAAACUUGAACCUCAGUACUCGGAUCGCACCCUAAGGAAUGAGCUAGUCCCAUACCUAACACACUCCGAAGGACAGCCUGCUCGGAUACCAACUGUAACAUCCCGAAUUUUCGGAAUAUUAAAAACUAAUUUCACAACACAAAUAAUACCAUUACUUAAAUCAAAAUCCUCAAAUAUUAUAUAAGUCAAAGCAGCGGUCAAACCCAAUAAUCAAAAGUCAUAAAUUUAGAGACGCAGCUCCAAAAAUCCAAAACCAAUAUCUGAUAAACUCAUCAAAUUAUUCUAAAUAAACACUAAAUCUUUAUUCACUAAUGCAAAUAAUCACGAAGCAUAAAAUCCAAAAGUCCUCGAUCUAAUUCUCAAAAUUCUUCCACAUGAUAGAACCUGAAAUAUAGAAAAUCGGAUGAGCUACACAGCUCAGCAAGUAACAAUUUGACAAACAAUUAAUUUCGAAAUCAGUGGGCGUUUUUAUAAAACAUUGUUCCUCAAAACAAUUAUAACUUUAAAACACUUGUAAAAAAACAAAUCCAACCCAUAGUUUAUAUUUUAAAACGAAUCAGAAUUUAAAUGAGAAGCAAAAACAGAAACAAAAAUCUUAUCAAUACCACAGUCUUGCUCUACGGCCACACUUUCCCAGUGACCGGGAUCUUAUUCUUAUUCUUUGCCACAUUUACCCAGUGACCGGGAUCUAAAGUUCAAUAAUCACGCGCCCUUAGCAGGUAUCUAAAGUUGCACACUUGUGCGCCUACUAAGGGUAUCUAAGGCUAGUUCCGGAACUAUAGCGUAAAUUACGAACGGGUUCGAAACGUAGAGACUGGGUCUUCAAAGAUUCUCAUGUCUUAUAUCUUAUAAAUUUUGAAACAAAAUUCUUAUAUCUUAUAAAUCUCGAAACAAAAUUUUCUUAUAUCUCAUGACAAAAAUCUGAAAUUCACAUAGCCAAAAUAUCUUUCGAAAAUAAAAGUAAGUCAAAAAGUACUUACCUCAAAGUCGACACUUAAAAUCCGAAAUUAAUAACACGAACAAAGCCUAUACAUUUAAUUAAUAAACAAAACAUAAUUAACACAUAACACUUCUUAAACAAUCAAGAGCAAGGCACAUAACAAGUCUUAACAAAAUACAAACUUUAACAACUAAUAACAAUUAACAUAAUUUCAUUUAUCGAAUAAGAUAAAUAACAUGCAUGCUGUUACAAAUUUCAAUAUUAACUAAAGAUAACUUCUGAAUAUGAGAAAAUAAUCAACUAUAGAAUUAAAUUACAUUCAACAAGGAUUCCAAAAUGACCAGAUUCAUAAUAAACGGACAGAUAACGAAUUAGUUAUGAAUUUUAGAAGUUCAAGUAACAGAGCAGAAUUUUACUCAGGAGCAGUUUACAUUCAAAGCAGAUUUUCACAAAGAAAACAAACUGAUAUCAAUUAGACUAUAACUAAACACUUAUAUAUCAUUCUCAGAGGUUUCAGAAUUGGUAAAGAUCAUAAUUUUAUGGCAAAUAACGAGGGAGAUAUGAAUUUUUAAACACAGAACAACUCAGCAGAAAAGUAUAAACAGCCCUGAAUCUUUGUAAGUCAGUUUAGACAAUUAAAUCAAUUUAAACAACAAAUGGGUAUGACUGAUAACGAAAGAAUAUAUCUCAAGCUUUCCAGAUUGGUAUCACGAGUAAAUUUUUGACAUACGAUCAAUUUAUAGCGAAUUUUUGAACAUGGGAAAAAGUUUCGCGACUAAGAACUAAAGGGUAACAAAGAAUGUGAUUUUAAGCAUAGAUACACUGCUAAUUUCGAAAUAAGUCCUGAGACAAAAGUUGUAGGUAUCGAAGAGAGCUUUUCAGAAUGUCCAGAAUCAACAACAUCCGAUCAAUUUUCAAUUUACUAUGAAUUUUACAACCCAACUGAUUCACAGAAAUUACUAUAUACAAAUUUCAGCAUAAACAAUUAAGCAAACAUGAUAUAUUUACAUCAAAUACACAUGAUAAUAAGCAAGAAAUCAAUAUCUCAAGUCAACAUAUACGUGUUAUAAUCAAAGAGAAAAAGAGAGCAUACCCGUCCACGUAAAUUGAUGUCCGACUUAUUCAGAUUCUAAAGAGGUUCUUAUAUAGCACAUAAAACCUAGUCGUAAAUAGGAAGUCCCAAACUUGGGUCAAAAUUUUCUACACAUCAUAAACCAAUUUCCAAAUAUAAGGUCUUCUAAAAAAGAUUUCAAUUUCUAAAAUAAUUCUACACUUCUUUCCAUUAAUAAAGAAUGUUCUCUAUUUUAUUAUUCAAAAUAACUAACACGAAAAUAAAUUCUAGAAGCUUCCAAUUAAUGCUAAUAUCUAAUUAUAUAAAUACAAACAAUUUAAAUCUAAAAUCUAACUCAUAAUAAUAAUACUAAUUAAAUAGAAAUAUUUAAAUAAAUAAAUAAAAUUACAGGAUUUUACAACACUGCUGUAACCACAUGUAGAAAAACACACCCCCUGGCAAAAAAGCCUUGAAAAUUCCGAUCUUUAACAGAUGCCACCAUGAACAAAAGAAAUCC